CAGAGCAUUGAGGCAUUGAGACAACAGUUUUGAUAAAAAACAUUCUGUUUAGGGUUGAGUGGGUCAAGGUCUCCCACUCUAUGAACAUUGUCCAGCUGUGAAUCUCCGUGUUAAUUUCCAUCUACUGCAAGACCAUUUUCUGAUGAGGGUUUGUUUAUUUGUUGGAUUCCAAUGACCAGUUUAUGAAUGUUGAACCAUCCAUGUAUCACUGGGAAGAAGCCUAUUUCAUGAUUAUGUUCAUGUGCCCUUGGAUUUGGGUUGACAACUGGUGGAGUCGGCUAGAAGAUGCAAGGAAAAGGCAGGAAGAAUGCGAAAGAGCUAAAACCCAUGUGGGGCUGCCGACCAUGUCAGGGAUGGCAAGGGUGAGGUCCCCACCACCCUGUCAUGUUGAUGACUAACCCGUCUUCGUUUCUGGGAACUUAAAGCCUUAGCGGGUUGGCACUACAUCCCAUGACUGAGGAGACACAAAAGCCAAGCCGUAAAUAGCAGAGCAGAUUCCGAUGAUGUAGAACAAAGGCCUACACAACAUAACACCAAUGGCAGACAGUGGCUACCCGGAUGAAGACACAGCUGCUGUUCACUGUUGGCUAACUGGGCUAUGUCACCUGGCGAUGCGUGCAGUGAGGAAAUAGACCGUGAUAGAUGCUGUUUACUGUGCAAGGCGGGGACUUGCGCACAUAACAACACUUCUCUGGGUGAAUUACCACAGGUGACCAGAGCCAUGCCACUCAGAGAGUCCAGUGGAGCCUUGAACAGCACCUGGGGAGAGCUUCCACCAAAGGUUACAAAGCAGCUGGGGAGACCUUGUGGUUCCUGCCCCUUCCCAGUUCUCUGUGAAGCAAGUCAGCUUGGAAGCCAGGCUCCCUCUGUUUCACUCCCUUCCCUAGAAACUGCUUCUGGAGCUUUGUCUCAGGCACAGCUCAACUGUGGGACAAAAGAGGAAGUUCUACAGAAGGUGCAGAACGCAUUCUAUUUCUUACAGCCAGGGCUCGGAGAAAUUACAUGCUGGCUCUGCACAGGGGAGCAGGUGAGCAACCAGGAUUUCCUCUCCCCUGGAGUUCCAGCCACACGCUAUUCGCAUGAGCCCCGUUAUUGGAAGAAUGUGGUAAACAGUGUGUUCUGGCUCACUGUCUCACAGGGAGACACAGUUGGGUAGAAGCUCCGUGGGCUUCCUGUGAGUAGAAUUUGAGAGGCCCUACAGUCACUCACAGGGAGUUAGAACUCAUGCUCGUUUUUCCUGUUCCGUCAAGGAAUCACCCACACAGAACUGCUACCUGCCUAUUCUCAGGAUCCCCUCAGUUCUCUCAGCAUUAUUGCCUGUAAGACAGGACCUGAACAGAGCAGCCUGAGUGCUGGGAUUGUAGGCUUGCACCACAGCACGAACUAUCUUCCACAGUCUCUGGAUCUUAGUUUGCAGAAAUUUUCCUUAAAAAUUCACGGGAAGAGAAGAUAGGCAGGGAGGAAGCAAGAUUUUUGUCUAAUUUACUCCUUCUGCCAACCACUCUUAGGUGCCACAGUAGAUUUGGACCACCUAGUGUAGGAACCACAAAUUCUCUUGUGCUAUGCUGACACCUAGUGGGAACAUGAAAAUAUACAUCGAAAGAUACUGUACAUGGUGCCUAUGGAUGUGGACUAUACUUUACAAGAAUACUGUGCUUCUGUCCCUCUCAAAUAAAAAAGUCAGAUA